rnacentral:rRNA from 1 species
AAAGGAAUAGACGGGGGCCCGCACAAGCGGUGGAGCAUGUGGUUUAAUUCGACGCAACGCGCAGAACCUUACCCGGGCUAGAAAAACGUGGAACCCUUAUGAAAGUAGGGGGUGCUCUUCGGAGAACCACGGUCCAGGUGCUGCAUGGCUGUCGUCAGCUCGUGUCGUGAGAUGUUGGGUUAAGUCCCGCAACGAGCGCAACCCUUGUCCUUCGUUGCCAUCAGUUCGGCUGGGCACUCAAAGGAGACUGCCGGGGUCAACCCGGAGGAAGGUGGGGAUGACGUCAAGUCCUCAUGGCCCUUAUGUCCGGGGCUACACACGUGCUACAAUGGUCGGUACAAAGCGCUGCAAACCCGUGAGGGGGAGCCAAUCGCAAAAAGCCGGCCUCAGUACGGAUUGCAGUCUGCAACUCGACUGCAUGAAGGCGGAAUCGCUAGUAAUCGCUGAUCAGCAGGCAGCGGUGAAUACGUUCCCGGGCCUUGUACACACCGCCCGU